UACGGGGGGGACGAGCGUUGUUCGGAUUUACUGGGCGUAAAGGGCGCGUAGGCGGAUUGAUAAGUCAGAUGUGAAAUACCAAAGCUCAACUUUGGUGCUGCAUUUGAAACUGUCUCUCUAGAGGAUUGACGGAGAAAGGGGAAUUCCACGUGUAGCGGUGAAAUGCGUAGAUACGUGGAGGAACACCGGUGGCGAAAGCGCCUUUCUAGUUUAUACCUGACGCUGAGGCGCGAGAGCAAGGGGAGCAAACAGG
rnacentral:rRNA from 1 species